UAAAAGGUCCUUUUCAGGACCAGUGAAAAUUAUUCCUCCAGAGUUAU
rfam:Aedes albopictus isolate Foshan contig52249, whole genome shotgun sequence.